rnacentral:rRNA from 1 species
CAGUCGCCGCGGGAAUACGUAGGUGGCAAGCGUUGUCCGGAAUUAUUGGGCGUAAAGGGCUCGCAGGCGGUUUCUUAAGUCUGAUGUGAAAGCCCCCGGCUCGACCGGGGAGGGUCAUUGGAAACUGGGAAACUUGAGUGCAGAAGAGGAGAGUGGAAUUCCACGUGUAGCGGUGAAAUGCGUAGAGAUGUGGAGGAACACCAGUGGCGAAGGCGACUCUCUGGUCUGUAACUGACGCUGAGGAGCGAAAGCGUGGGGAGCGAACAGGAUUAGAGACCCCCGUAGUCCCUGUCUCUUAUAC